rnacentral:rRNA from 1 species
GGUACAAAGGGCAGCGACACAGCGAUGUGAUGCGAAUCCCGAAAAGCCUGUCUCAGUCCGGAUCGGAGUCUGCAACUCGACUCCGUGAAGUUGGAAUCGCUAGUAAUCGUGGAUCAGCAUGCCACGGUGAAUACGUUCCCGGGCCUU